UCAUGUAGCGAGCGACCAUAGGGAGUACUGAAAAGUUCGAUGACGUGCGAACGUGCAAUGAGGCCGAUCACCUUAUGCCUAUCCAUUACCA
rnacentral:tRNA from 1 species